rnacentral:rRNA from 1 species
CCUACGAGAGGCAGCAGUGAGGAAUAUUGGUCAAUGGGCGCGAGCCUGAACCAGCCAAGUAGCGUGAAGGAUGACUGCCCUACGGGUUGUAAACUUCUUUUAUAAAGGAAUAAAGUGAGGCACGUGUGCCUUUUUGUAUGUACUUUAUGAAUAAGGAUCGGCUAACUCCGUGCCAGCAGCCGCGGUAAUACGGAGGAUCCGAGCGUUAUCCGGAUUUAUUGGGUUUAAAGGGAGCGUAGAUGGGUUGUUAAGUCAGUUGUGAAAGUUUGCGGCUCAACCGUAAAAUUGCAAUUGAUACUGGCAGUCUUGAGUACAGUUGAGGUAGGCGGAAUUCGUGGUGUAGCGGUGAAAUGCUUAGAUAGCACGAAGAACCCCGAUUGCGAAGGCAGCUUACUAAACUGUGACUGACAUUGAUGCUCGAAAGUGUGGGUAUCAAACAGGAUUAGAUACCCCUGUAGUC